rnacentral:rRNA from 1 species
GACGUAGGGGGCGAGCGUUGUCCGGAUUUAUUGGGCGUAAAGCGCGCGUAGGCGGCUUUGCAAGUCGGGUGUGAAAUCCCCAGGCUUAACCUGGGAACUGCAUUUGUGACUGCAUCGCUGGAGUGCGGCAGAGGGGGAUGGAAUUCCGCGUGUAGCAGUGAAAUGCGUAGAUAUGCGGAGGAACACCGAUGGCGAAGGCAAUCCCCUGGGCCUGCACUGACGCUCAUGCACGAAAGCGUGGGGAGCAAACAGG